AACGAACGCUGGCGGCGCGCUUAACACAUGCAAGUCGAACGAGAAGGUGUAGCAAUACGCUUGUAAAGUGGCGAACGGGUGAGGAAUACAUGGGUAACCUACCCUCGAGUGGGGGAUAACCCGCCGAAAGGCGGGCUAAUACCGCGUACGCUUCCGAUCUUCCGGGAUCGGAAGGAAAGCUGUCCCAAGGGGAUGGCGCUCAAGGAUGGGCUCAUGUCCUAUCAGCUUGUUGGUAGGGAACGGCCUACCAAGGCAUCGACGGGUAGCUGGUCUGAGAGGACGAUCAGCCACACUGGCACUGCGACACGGGCCAGACUCCUACGGGAGGCAGCAGUGAGGAAUAUUGCGCAAUGGGCAAAGCCUGACGCAGCGACGCCGCGUGAGGGAUGAAGGUCUUCGGAUUGUAAACCUCUUUCAGGAGGGACGAAGGUUC
rnacentral:rRNA from 1 species